AUGCCCGAGGAGCGGGCCAGGGAGUCUGCGAAGAGGAAGGGUCGGAGGCACGCGGCGGACGCGAGGGACAAAGCAGCGGCCACGGCCGCCAUCGUCGCCGCCGCGCAGCAGGAGGCCACCAACGCCCGUGUCGCGGCGGCAACGAGGGAGGCGUUGAUGUACCUAGGGUUAAACCCUGACCAGCACGGCCCCGUCAACGUCGUCGUGGCCCCGGCCAGCACCGGGUCAUCUGCGUUUCCUCGGAUGGUGCUGCUGUCGGAUUCAGGGCUCCGCAGACCCAAGAAAAGGUUAGAACUCUGGGGCGUGUGCGAAGAACUCAACCUCUCCAGCCAACCAGCUCGUCGCCCCCACGGCCUAGCUCGAUGA
rnacentral:rRNA from 1 species